CCAUAUAGGCAUGUAGGGACUAGGGUGAAGAAACAACAAAUAUGGAUUAAAACAAAGACAUGUUCACCUACUCCCUUCUGCAACAAUUCCUUGAGUAUUGUAGAAGUUAAUUAGUGAAUACAGAGAAUAAAUAUGCCCACUAGUUUGUAUUACUAAUUGUUACCUGCUCCUACACUAAUUCUCACGUAUAUUUGAAAUUACUAGUAUUUUGAGUGUCAAAAUAAGAGAUUGCUAGAAUUCUCACGCGCAACACCGGCUUUCCGCCAUUUCGUGUAGUAAUCACUCAAUUAACAUUGAUUUCUAGAGUUAGUUGAAAUGUUAUCGGAGUUUUAAUCGGGCCACAUCCUGCAAUCAGGCGCAUUGUUCAUGGAAUGCCUGUUAUUGCCCUGUUGCUUUAGCAUUUUUACUCCUCCAGAUCAGUGCAUUUUUACUCCUGCAAUCCGACCACAUCCUGCAAUUGGGGAUUUUUAAAUGGAAAAUGAUUUCAAUCCUCCAGAGACGUGGUGAUGUUGGUAAAAGAAACUUUUGUACACCUGCAAUCUUAACUCUAAUGUUUUUACCUUCAGUUACAUGUCUGUAAGCUUAUUUUGUAGGUACUUUGGAUUGUUUUUUAGUUAAUGGAGGUUAGUUUUACAAUCCCUUCUCAAUUCUAAUUAUUUCUUCAUUAAGUUGAAAGCAACUGCCAUACAUAGGCGUUUCUCAAUCGUUUUAAUUGUGUUCGAAUACCAUUUCCAAAUGUCGUAUCUAGUUGUUGUGAUAGUUCCUGAAUUUUGGUAUGCUCGUUGCGGUAGUUCCCGAAUUUUUGUAUUAGGAUCAUACUGCAGGGAUAAGGUGGUCAUAUUCUUUUUGUGUUAGUUUUGAAUUCUUAUCUGAUCCCAAUUCUUAUUAGCUGAACUGGUCGUGCAGGAGCCACAAGAACUGCCUUCCCAUUUUUUACUCAUGCAAAUGCAAACAUGCUAGAGAACUUACUGAGAUUAUCAACAAGCAAAGCAAGCCGUGCCACCUCAACCUACUCUGUUUCAUGAUAAAAUGUCAUUUCCCUUUGCCUCUAUUUAUUUCAUCAUAUAUUUGUUGGUUGGUUCAUGUUAUUUCGAAUUAGACUUUUUAUUUCUUGCAUUUUAUGUGGAAUUUGUAAAUAGGUGUCAUCUAAAAUGUUGUUGUGUUUUUAUGAUGUUUGUUGGUUCUUGUUCUGAUAAGGUUUUUGGUACUUGAGAAAAGGUUCGAUAUUGAUGAAAGAUAGUCCAUUUUUUGCA